AGUGAACGCUGGCGGUAGGCCUAACACAUGCAAGUCGAACGGCAGCACAGUAAGAGCUUGCUCUUACGGGUGGCGAGUGGCGGACGGGUGAGGAAUACAUCGGAAUCUACUUUUUCGUGGGGGAUAACGUAGGGAAACUUACGCUAAUACCGCAUACGACCUACGGGUGAAAGCAGGGGAUCUUCGGACCUUGCGCGAUUGAAUGAGCCGAUGUCGGAUUGGCUAGUUGGCGGGGUAAAGGCACACCAAGGCGACGAACCGUAGCUGGUCUGAGAGAAUGAUCAGCCACACUGCAACUGAGCCACGGUCCAGACUCCUACGGGAGGCAGCAGUGGGGAAUAUUGGACAGUGGGCGCAAGCAUGAUCCAGCCAUACCGCGUGGGUGAAGAAGGCCUUCGGGUUGUAAAGCCCUUUUGUUGGGAAAGAAAAGCAGCAGGUUAAUACCCAGCUGUUCUGACGGUACCCAAAGAAUAAGCACCGGCUAACUUCGUG
rnacentral:rRNA from 1 species